rnacentral:rRNA from 1 species
UACGUAGGGUGCGAGCGUUAAUCGGAAUUACUGGGCGUAAAGCGUGCGCAGGCGGUUUGUUAAGACAGGCGUGAAAUCCCCGGGCUCAACCUGGGAAUGGCGCUUGUGACUGGCAAGCUAGAGUAUGGCAGAGGGGGGUAGAAUUCCACGUGUAGCAGUGAAAUGCGUAGAGAUGUGGAGGAAUACCGAUGGCGAAGGCAGCCCCCUGGGCCAAUACUGACGCUCAUGCACGAAAGCGUGGGGAGCAAACAGGAUUAGAUACCCUGGUAGUCCACGCCCUAAACGAUGUCAACUAGGUGUUGGGUGGGUAAAACCAUUUAGUACCGUAGCUAACGCGUGAAGUUGACCGCCUGGGGAGUACGGCCGCAAGGUUAAA